rnacentral:rRNA from 1 species
AGCGAACGCUGGCGGCAGGCUUAACACAUGCAAGUCGAACGGGCGUAGCAAUACGUCAGUGGCAGACGGGUGAGUAACGCGUGGGAACGUACCUUUUGGUUCGGAACAACCCAGGGAAACUUGGGCUAAUACCGGAUAAGCCCUUACGGGGAAAGAUUUAUCGCCGAGGGAUCGGCCCGCGUCUGAUUAGCUUGUUGGUGAGGUAACGGCUCACCAAGGCGACGAUCAGUAGCUGGUCUGAGAGGAUGAUCAGCCACAUUGGGACUGAGACACGGCCCAAACUCCUACGGGAGGCAGCAGUGGGGAAUAUUGGACAAUGGGCGCAAGCCUGAUCCAGCCAUGCCGCGUGAGUGAUGAAGGCCCUAGGGUUGUAAAGCUCUUUUACCC